rnacentral:rRNA from 1 species
UGUACCUUAUGAAUAAGGAUCGGCUAACUCCGUGCCAGCAGCCGCGGUAAUACGGAGGAUCCGAGCGUUAUCCGGAUUUAUUGGGUUUAAAGGGUGCGUAGGCGGCCUUUUAAGUCAGCGGUGAAAGUCUGUGGCUCAACCAUAGAAUUGCCGUUGAAACUGGGGGGCUUGAGUAUGUUUGAGGCAGGCGGAAUGCGUGGUGUAGCGGUGAAAUGCAUAGAUAUCACGCAGAACCCCGAUUGCGAAGGCAGCCUGCCAAGCCAUUACUGACGCUGAUGCACGAAAGCGUGGGGAUCAAACAGGAUUAGAUACCCUGGUAGUCCACGCAGUAAACGAUGAUCACUAGCUGUUUGCGAUACACUGUAAGCGGCACAGCGAAAGCGUUAAGUGAUCCACCUGGGGA